UCCGUAGGUGGAUAAUUAAGUCAGAGGUGAAAUCCUGCAGCUCAACUGUAGAAUUGCCUUUGAUACUGGUUAUCUUGAGUUAUUAUGAAGUAGUUAGAAUAUGUAGUGUAGCGGUGAAAUGCAUAGAUAUUACAUAGAAUACCAAUUGCGAAGGCAGAUUACUAAUAAUCAACUGACACUGAUGGACGAAAGCGUGGGGAGCGAACAGAAUUAGAUACCCUGGUAGUCC
rnacentral:rRNA from 1 species